GGAGAUGUAGUUCAGUGGUAAAGAGCACUGACUGUUAUUUCAGGGGUACUGAGUUCAAAUCUCAGCAACCACA
rnacentral:tRNA from 1 species